GGCGCGGCCCGGCGGGCGUGCACGCGCUCUGGCGGGCACGUGGGGCCCUUUCGUCCCCGGCGUCCGGGCGCCUCGUCCCAACCCCCACCUUGGCCUCCGUCCGGUGGCUGCGUCCGGUGCGCAGAAAGACUGGAGGCCGCCCCAGCCCAGCGGGCGCCGCCCGGGCGGCCGCUCUGGCGGUGUGGGCCCGGGCUCGGGCCACGGGCCGCGAGAAGAAUGGCGUCCGUCUCUUUACAUAAUGCUUUGUUUGCAUUUUGUCGCCCGGUCUCCGGGAAGCCCCACCUCCUGCCCCUGCGCUGCCUCCCGCGGCAGCCAGCCUCUUUAGACGUUAGAGCACUAAGGCGCACUGAAAGGCGCCCGCCGUGGCCCGCCCGCCCGCCCGCGCGCCUCCCGGGCCACGCUCUCCGAGGCCGCCAGCCCUCGGCGCGGCCGCCAUCUUGGGAGGUCUUCCUGCCCGCGAGCCUCACGCCAGGAAAUGGCCAUCGAGCCUCUGGAGGGCGAGUUAGGGUUUCUUGGCCUUUUCUUGUUCCACGGGCCUAGCCACCCUAGAGGAGGUCGUGGGAACGUGUUUAAUACCUCAGAGAAAGGGCUAACGUGGCCCUCCUCCGCCCCCUUUGAUUCCCUCAGCGGGGAGGGCUGGCAGCCAUGUUUCCCCACAAAAUGGCGACACGUGUUCGCCGACGCGAAAUUGGGGUGGGCCCGAAAGCUCUAGAACGUGCGUCUUAUCAUUCUCAGGCCGUCCCCAAGUUCUUUCCGGAUGAAACGGCGGGCCACUUGGAAGUUGGCUGGCAGAAACUCAGGCUCUCCACUUCCCUUGUUGGGCAUGUGCAUAAAAUGCAGGCCUAACGCUGCCUUUUUUUUUUUUUUUUUUGAGUAAUGGCAGGCGGGUGUGUGUGUGUGUGUGUGUGUGUGUGUGUGUGUGUGUGUGUGUGUGUGUGUGUGUGUGCAGUACUUAGCCAAGUAUCCAAGCAUCUAGAAACCUGUUUUUCUAGAUCUUGUACAGGUUGUGGUGUUAACUGAUUAAAGAUUUAUAGCUAAAACCAUUAGCCUGUGUCUCACUAUUCAACUGUCCAGUGAUCUGCAAAUUCGAAGUUAUGGCCUCAAAUAGAGUCAAGAGGAACCGCUGGUGGUUUUGGAUUUGCCAAUCCAGAUUCUAUUCUUUCUUUUUUUUUUUUUUUAAUCACAGUCCCCAGACUGCAGUGGGUAUUUAUUUCUCUCUCUUUUCCCCCAGCAGAGUAAGACAAACCCAGAAAGAUGAAGUGACUGAUUUAAGGUCACUCAGUAUGGAGAAUGGAAUCCAUAAACAUCUGAUUUCCUUACUGACCCACACUCCAUGUUCUGAGGAGCCGCCUGUGAAGUUACUGAGAUAAUGGAGCAAUGGACUGGAUAGUCCCCUGUAGAUCAUCCAUGAUUCUUCUCAAAUUCAAGUGACCACAGGGUUUCUCUGUUUAAUGACUAUGGCUGUCUUCUAACUCACUCUAUAGACCAGUAGACCACCUGUUUCUGCCUCUCUAGUGCUGGAAUUAAAGGUGCUUUCCAGUCUCUCUAUGUUAUGGGCGAAGAGACUGAGACUGAACCCAGAAAAGUGGAGUGACGUGCCUUGAGUCACAGCUAGCCACCAUGAAUUUAUGAAGUUAUCAGGCACAUAACUCCUGCUGAGCUGUCACCAGUGCUCCAGUCACCCCACAGCAAAGGCUCAUUAGGAGUAAAUUAGAAAGUGUUUCUGAGACAGGAAUCUGCCAGCAGUUCCUGAGGAAUCAAGAAGAGAUGAUGCUUACUGUGGCUUAAGAGUUGGUGUUCUGUUCCUACGCAUUGAUGUCAGCCUUCUUCAGUUCACAGGGAGAACUUACGCUGACAGAUGGGAGACAUGGUCUGGUAACACCAUGCUUCAGACUAUGACUGUGGAACUAGCCUGCUUGACCUUGGGACUGGAGAAAUGUCAAGAAUGUUUGCUGCUCUUCCAGAGAACCAGGAUUCAGUUCCCAGCAUCCAUACCCAGUGGUUCCAAGGAAUUCAACUCCUUUUCUUAGCUUCCUCAAGCACCCACACACAUGUGGCUUACACACACACACACACACACACACACACACACACACACACAAAAGAGACAUUAAAAACAAUUGUUUCUAUUUUUACUCUGUGUGUGUGUGUGUGUGUGUGUGUGUGUGUGUGUGUGUGUGUGCGCGCGCGCGCAGUUGUGUUCAGCCUGUCCUCACUUGUGUCACUAGCAUGUUGUCAUGAGACUUGGUGGCAGACACCUUUACCUGCUGAGUUACUGUUCUCCCUUCUUUUUUCAUGUGGGUAGGGGUCUAAACCUUCACUGAAGGAGAGGCAAAAGCAGGAUCCUUCCUGUGAAGCCCUGGCUGCCUCCACACUCUGUAUUCCUUCCUCCAUCUGUCCAGGACUGGGGUUAGAGGCAUAUGCAGAUGUCCCCCUUCUCUCUAAACAGUACAUCCUCAUAGGAAACAGAUCUGUUUCAGAGAGUGGGGUUAACGUCUGAUAGUGGUCACGAGUGUUGUAGUUGCUGACUUGUAAUUAGUUGUGUUGUGGACUGAGUUGAGGGGACUGCUGUCCUUGGCUGCAGCCUUUGCAUGGCUCUGUAAACUUCCCAUGCAGACCCAAUAAAGGACUACUUUACAGGGCUUACCCACUCAUGUGAACACAGUAUUUUGCUUUAUUCAUAAACAAAUGACAGGCUUGGGACAUAGUCUAGCGUGUCAAGACCCUGGGCUUGAUCCCAGCAUCACAGAAACAGCCAGGUGACUAUAGCAGAUACUUCCUCCAGCCUGUGGAUACUGUGGAAUAUUGGUGAAGGGGGAUUGAAUGGUAGUAACCCCACUGGACUCCAAUUCUGUCCUUAACACCUGGAAUUCUAGUUAAAGGAAGUUUCUUGCCUGGACUUAAAAUGGAAGAAAGACCCAGGUAUAAUUGUGUAAUCUCAGUACGGCUGCUGCUGGCCACAAACAAUGAAGAGAAGUUCACCUUCAUGUGAAACACUGUGUAUAUGCAAGGUCCUGAGCAGCAGAUAUUCUAAGCCCCCCUUGAAGUGCUCUGUCUGGGUUGAGUAGCACCACCCAGACUUCAUGUUUGUUGAUCAGAGCCUGUGAAUGCAAGUAGUAGAUUUUAAAGAUUUUUUUAUUUUAAGAUUAUGUAUUUUCAUGUGUGUGUUGUGUGUGUGUGUGUGUGUGUGUUCAUGUUCACAUGAGUGUAGUGCCAGCAGAGUCCAGAGAGAGUGUUGGAUCCCCUGGAGUUGGAGAUACAGGUGGUUGUAGGCUGGAAAUUGAACUCUAGUCCUUGGCAAGGGCAAUAAAUGCUAUUAACCACUGAGCCCCCCUUCGACUGGGAAAUACAGUUUUUGUAGAUGUAACUAAGUUCGGAUGAAUACGGUGGCAGAUCCUGAUCCAGUGACAGUGUUCUGUAAGACAUCCAGGGGGAUGGAGGCAGGGAUUGGGGUUCUGCAUGCUGUCAUUCACUACUCCAGGGACAACCAGCUAUCUAUCACCAGGAACAAAUUCCUCCCCUGCCUUUUCGAGUAUGGCCUUGCUGACACCUGAUUGUCGUCUGUGGUCUCCAGGCUGUGGGAUGAGCUUCUGCUGUUGGAAACCUGACAGUCUGUUAGAUGUCUCUAGAGACUAAUGCACACACCACCACCUCUGCACUCUGAUGAAGAAAAUGGAGGCCCGAAGACAGCAAACAUUGGAGAGCUCAGUAGCCACUGUCCUGCCCUCUGGCUCCUGCUGUCACUUCAGCUGGCUGUGCACCUUUACCAUGUACACCCAGCUAUUGAAAUGACUCUAAUGUCAGGCCACUUCACCCUGUUAAGUAGACCCUCUUCUCGUUAACACCAGUUUCUUUGGAAGAUGCGUGUUUGCUGUUUUGAGACAAGGUUUUACCGCGAAUUCUGACUAGCCUGGAACUUUCUGUGUGGAUCAAGCUGGGCUCAGAUUCCUCCUGUGUACGGAGAUCAAAGCUCUGACUCCAGAAGAAAGAGAGGGCGGAAGGAAGGACAGAAAGACCAAAGGAAGGGAAAAUCUGGAAGCCAGGUCAAGCUGGACCUUCAGCGGUUUCUUCUGAGUGUGGUGCUCCAGGCUGGAGCAGGCCUCUCUCUGGGCGGGGAGAUCAAUGGAUACUCUGCCUCUUGUGUGACAGGCACCUGGAGACUUUGGGAAUGACCAUGCCAUCAUGUUCUGUGCCCUGCGUCAGUUUUAAGACAAAGAAGGGGCAUUUAUUCGAAGCCACCUGAUUCUCAGGGUCGAAUGGGGCUCAGGGGAGCCAGGAAAGGGGCACCUGGCCUUGAAGGACAGGAGGGCUGCUGCUGCGGGCCUCCUGUGUGACCUGUAGGCCCCACCCUCCAGUCGAUAGCUGGUCUGUGUCCUGUGCUGACCAGCCAGCCAGGAGCUCCUAGAGCUGAGCUCCUUGCAGAAACUGAGGCAUGGAUCCAUCAGGGAGGAGCAGGCCGCUGGCCCCCACAGGGUGACCUGACAUGGUACUUGCCACCCUGGGGGCUGGUUUGCCCAGCUGGUUGGCUGGCAAGAGCUGAGCCAUGUAAUUCUCACUUCCUCCACCUCCUCACAUUCCUCAGCAUUCCGUCAACAUGCCAGCUCCUGCAGGUGGCCCCAGCCAGCCGGCCAGGAGGGUGGCACCUUUAUUUAAAGGGCUGCUAUUCAGAGCCCCAAGCACCCACUCGCCCUCAGCCUGAAACUCCACUGCUUCCUCCCACUUUCCCUUUUUCAAACAGGCUCUUCUUUAUAUUUUAGUCCUGGCCAAACCCUGUGGAGAGCAUGUCGUCAGGUGGGCUGCUGAGCCUUGGGUACAGGGCAGAGUACUGGGAAACAAGAGCAGGGCCUGCAACUCCACAGGCCAUGGAGGGAUGGCUCAGGCCGAGCCUGGCUGUAUCUGCCUUUCUGUUCCCAUGUCCUUUCUGAGGAAAGCCAUCCACUCAGGUCUCCUUAAAGAGCCUGUAGGUCUGAGCGUCAUUUAUGAGGAAGAAAAAUUGUUUUUUAAUAAAGAAAGUUAUGAGAAGUA